rnacentral:misc_RNA from 1 species
GCUCCUAAAAUUCUGCCACUUGCUAAAAGUACCCACACUUUUUGUAGCUCUUAUGUCUUUUUGGUUUUCAAGAACAUCCCCAAGAAUUUCUGCAGCAAGAAUUUCAAGUUUAUAUUCUGCAUUCCCAAUAGCAAACUCUAGUUUCCUAUCAUCAAAAUCUUCAUCCCUCUCCUUCUCAUAUUUCUCUCUUGCGCUGGACAAUUCAGAAAAAAAAAUCCUGGCCCUGCUCCAUGUCAAUGCACUUGUCUUUCUUAUUG